ACUCAAAGGAAUUGACGGGGGCCCGCACAAGCAGCGGAGCGUGUGGUUUAAUUCGACGCAACACGAAGAACCUUACCUAGGCUUGACAUGGGACUGCACACAGCGGAAACGUUGUGGCCUUCGAGGGUGUCCCACCGGUGCUGCAUGGCUGUCGUCAGCUCGUGUCGUGAGAUGUUGGGUUAAGUCCCGCAACGAGCGCAACCCUUGCCCCGUGUUACCUGUGUCACGGGGGACUGCCGGUACGUUGUACCGGAGGAAGGCGGGGAUGACGUCAAGUCCGCAUGGCCCCUACGCCUAGGGCGACACACACGCUACAAUGGCCGGAGGAACGCGCAGCGAAGGGGCAACCUGGAGCUAAUCGCGAAGGCCGGUCUCAGUGCAGAUUGGGGGCUGCAACUCGCCCCCAUGAAGGCGGAGUUGCUAGUAACCGCGUGUCAGCAAAGCGCGGUGAAUACGUACCCGGGCCUUGUACACACCGCCCGU
rnacentral:rRNA from 1 species